AGUGAACGCUGGCGGUAGGCCUAACACAUGCAAGUCGAACGGCAGCACAGUAAGAGCUUGCUCUUACGGGUGGCGAGUGGCGGACGGGUGAGGAAUAGAUCGGAAUCUACUUUUUCGUGGGGGAUAACGUAGGGAAACUUACGCUAAUACCGCAUAUGACCUACGGGUGAAAGCAGGGGAUCUUCGGACCUUGCGCGAUUGAAUGAGCCGAUGUCGGAUUAGCUAGUUGGCGGGGUAAAGGCCCACCAAGGCGACGAUCCGUAGCUGGUCUGAGAGGAUGAUCGGCCACACUGGAACUGAGACACGGUCCAGACUCCUACGGGAGGCAGCAGUGGGGAAUAUUGGACAAUGGGCGCAAGCCUGAUCCAGCCAUACCGCGUGGGUGAAGAAGGCCUUCGGGUUGUAAAGCCCUUUUGUUGGGAAAGAAAAGCAGCAGGUUAAUACCCCGCUGUUCUGACGGUACCCAAAGAAUAAGCACCGGCUAACUUCGUG
rnacentral:rRNA from 1 species